UACGAGGGGGGCAAGCGUUGUUCGGAAUUAUUGGGCGUAAAGGGUGCGUAGGCGGUCUGAUAAGUCAUCUGUGAAAUCUAUGGGCUCAACCCAUAGUCUGCAGGCGAAACUGUCGGGCUUGAGUAUGGGAGAGGUGAGUGGAAUUUCCGGUGUAGCGGUGAAAUGCGUAGAUAUCGGAAGGAACACCAGUGGCGAAGGCGGUUGCCUGGGGCUUUGCUGACGCUGAUGCGCGAAAGCGUGGGGAGCGAUCCGG
rnacentral:rRNA from 1 species